rnacentral:sRNA from 1 species
GGAUGCGAAGACCGUCUGGCUGUGGCACCGAUCAUCUCACUGAUUGUCAGGUGUGAUUCAGCUGGGGCUCGGCCUGGGUGCCUUCCUUCCUUGUGUCUCUUCCUUUCCUACACCUUCCCUAGGAGAUGUGACCUCAGUCAAAGCAAACAGCCUUUCCAACCAGAGGAAAGUGUGCUUCCCUCUACAGCACUAGUAGAAUUACCCCAACCAGGGUCAAACAGGCUCUCAAGGAGUAGUGAGGCAAUGUGACAAGCUGUGGGACUCAGCAAGAGGCUAUCUGCUCCUCCGU